rnacentral:piRNA from 1 species
UGAGCAUACAUCAAAUCCUCCCUGCUGGUC